rnacentral:tRNA from 1 species
GUUUUCGUGGUGUAGUGGUUAUCACGUUCGCUUUACACGCGAAAGGUCCCCGGUUCGAUCCCGGGCGUAACCA